rnacentral:rRNA from 1 species
CGUUUUAUAAAGGGGCGAAUUGCUCCACUACAAGAUGGACCUGCGUUGUAUUUAGCUAGUAGGUGAGGUAAUAGGCUCACCUAGGCGACGAUACGAUAGCCGACCUGAGAGGGUGAUCGGCCACACUGGGACUGAGACACGGCCCAGACUCCUACGGGAGGCAGCAGUAGGGAAUCUUCGGCAAUGGGGGCAACCCUGACCGAGCAACGCCGCGUGAGUGAUGAAGGGUUUCGGCUCGUAAAACUCUGUUGUUAAGGAAGAAUACUUGAGGUAGUAACUGGCCUUGAGAUGACGGUACUUAACCAGAAAGCCACGGCUAACUACGUGCCAGCAGCCGCGGUAAUACGUAGGUGGCAAGCGUUAUCCGGAAUUAUUGGGCGUAAAGCGCGCGUAGGCGGUAAAAUAAGUCUGAUGUGAAAGCCCCCGGCUCAACCGGGGAGGGUCGAUUGGAAACUGUUUUACUUGAGUACAGAAGAGGAGAGUGGAAUUCCAUGUGUAGCGGUGAAAUGCGCAGAGACUAUCGGAGGAACACCAGUGGCGACGGGUCGACGCGGCCG